rnacentral:lncRNA from 1 species
CCUUGCUUCGUGCAAUUAACUGGUUUAGUUUUGUCGCUUUCUUCAGGGCUUCUGGUCAUUUUAGAUGACGUAAGUUGAAACGUGUCAGAAGAAGAACGGAUGAUACAAGUCAAAGUCAGCCAAAGAAACAUCCUACGAACUUGUCUAGAGAACAUCCCCUUUUUAUUCUUAUUUUUUAUUUAUACACGUAAAUAAGUUC